ensembl:lncRNA
GUUGGUUGUGAGGGUCGUGAGCCCAGGGAAGAAGUGCUGCUACUGGUGGCAUCUUCUGUUCUUCUCCCAGGGCCAGCACUGAGGUCCGGGGGAUCAGGUUGCUCAGCUUCGUCCCGGCUUCAGCGUCUCCAGCGACGGGGCCGGCUUUUCCCCUGUUUCCUCCAGCAGAGCCAGGAGGCUUGGUGGCUUGGUCAAGGCAUGCCGGUCUUGAGGGCCCUCAGCAGUGUGGGGAGCACGAAGUACACACUGCUGCUGCCUGCGGCCACCCUGGCUCAGCCCCAGCAGUGCACCAAGAGCUGCCUUUGGUUCCUGAUUAUGCACACACCCACAUUUGUGGGGCCCAGCUUUGCUUAGAUACUUGCGUAGCCAUGCAGGAGGAGAAAGUGAGGAACUCACCAGCCCUUGUUUACCGUCUGGUUUCAAAUCUGGGUGGCAGCAUGCUGAGAUAGUGUACGAAAUCAAAGGACAGCAGGCAGGUAUAGGGCUUUAUCGCUCUCUUCCUAUCUAGGCCAGCUGGUAGCAAAUUAGAUUAUACACCUGCAGCCUCCUGGAGAGACACUAAAUUAUCUGUCUGUGUACUCUUCUGUCUGGCUUUCUUGAUGUGCUGUUAAGGAGGCUCUGCAGCUCCUGCCUCUCUAACUGCGGUGUGUCUGUCCAGUAACACAGACAGAGCUGAGCGCUCCCUGAGCCUCUUUCAGUACCCUUCCGCCUCAAAUGGUGUUGUUCAUCGUGGGCUGUCACACAUGUAAUCUCAGCCUGAGGACAGUCUGAGUUAACGCUGGAGGAAGAGGGAAGUGUGUUAUUUCAGUUCUCUGUGAAGAGCCUGUAAGAAUUCGUGAAGUGCUGUUGUGCAGGAGGAGGCUGUCUCCUUGCAGCUCCUACACAGAUUGCAUUUGUUUAACCUAUCUAUGAUACACCAUGUGUCUCUGCAUUGUUUUAGCCUCUGUGUCACUCUUGCUCUGACAAAGCAGCAAAGAUGCUCCACCAGAGAGCGCAUAAAGGUGAGGAAGUGAAGGACUUGGAUUUUCAUGCUUUCCCUUGCUGUGAUGCUUUGUUCAGCAGAGGCCGGACUCAUAGAAGGGACUGGGGAUGUGAGAUAGGACCUCCAGCUGGUACGGGCAAACUUACCCUCUCCUCAGCCACUAAGGAUGUGGUGCAGGACCAUGUCUGAGACCUUGCACAAGUCCUGAACUGCAUUUUGAGUGAUCUCUCCUGAGAAAGACUUUGCUUUGUGAGUUUGAGUUGGUGCCUCGGCACGGUGGUGGAAUUGCUGGAUCAAAUGAGAGAGGCCCGUGAGUUUGGCACAGAGCUCGUGAUGCAUUUGGCAGCGCUGGUGUUGGGUCAGGGUAAGAAGUAAGGGCCAUAAACGUGAGUGAGCCACAAAAAGAAACCCCGAACGCAGCUCGCUGGACUUCACAGGUGUUCGUGCCUCGGCAGGGGCAGGGCUAAACGCCAUUGCACGGGGUCUCACUGCAGGCGGAUCUCACUCUGCCCAACCAACGUACCGCCGCCGCACCGAGCUGCAGCCGGCUAACUGCAAUGCACCACUCCGGCACCCGGCCCCGCACACCGUCCCGCGUCCC